rnacentral:rRNA from 1 species
UUUAUGGAGAGUUUGAUCCUGGCUCAGGAUGAACGCUGGCGGCGUGCCUAAUACAUGCAAGUCGAGCGAACAGAUGAGGAGCUUGCUCCUUUGACGUUAGCGGCGGACGGGUGAGUAACACGUGGGUAACCUACCUAUAAGACUGGAAUAACUCCGGGAAACCGGGGCUAAUGCCGGAUAACAUGUUGAACCGCAUGGUUCAACAGUGAAAGACGGUCUUGCUGUCACUUAUAGAUGGACCCGCGCCGUAU